GGCCUCCUUCUGUGGGGCAAUUGAUCCCGGGGCACCCAGAUCGAUUGUCCCACAGAGGGAGGCC
rnacentral:pre_miRNA from 1 species